AUUGAACGCUGGCGGCAUGCCUUACACAUGCAAGUCGAACGGCAGCACGGACUUCGGUCUGGUGGCGAGUGGCGAACGGGUGAGUAAUAUAUCGGAACGUACCUUUCAGUGGGGGAUAACUAUCCGAAAGGAUAGCUAAUACCGCAUAUUCUGUGAGCAGGAAAGCAGGGGAUCUUCGGACCUUGCGCUGAUUGAGCGGCCGAUAUCAGAUUAGCUAGUUGGUGGGGUAAAGGCCUACCAAGGCGACGAUCUGUAGCGGGUCUGAGAGGAUGAUCCGCCACACGGUAACUGAGACACGGUCCAGACUCCUACGGGAGGCAGCAGUGGGGAAUUUUGGACAAUGGGGGCAACCCUGAUCCAGCCAUGCCGCGUGAGUGAAGAAGGCCUUCGGGUUGUAAAGCUCUUUCGUCCGGGAAGAAAUCGCAUUGGCUAAUACCUGAUGUGGAUGACGGUACCGGAAUAAGAAGCACCGGCUAACUACGUGCCAGCCGCCGCCGUAACAC
rnacentral:rRNA from 1 species